rnacentral:tmRNA from 1 species
UGUAGAGGUCGUGGCGGACCAUUUCCGGACGCGGGUUCGAUUCCCGCCGCCUCCACCA